rnacentral:rRNA from 1 species
AGAAUCAACGCUGGCGGCGUGCCUAACACAUGCAAGUCGAACGAGAAAGUGGAGCAAUCCAUGAGUAAAGUGGCGACCGGGUGAGUAACACGUGACUAACCUACCUUUGAGUGGGGGAUAACAUCGGGAAACCGAUGCUAAUACCGCAUAACAUCGCAAGAUCAAAGCAGCAAUGCGCUUAAAGAGGGGGUCGCGGCUGAUUAGCUAGUUGGCGGGGUAACGCCCACCAAGGCGAAGAUCGGUAUCCGGCCUGAGAGGGCGCACGGACACACUGGAACUGAAACACGGUCCAGACUCCUACGGGAGGCAGCAGUGGGGAAUUUUGCGCAAUGGGGGAAACCCUGACGCAGCAACGCCGCGUGGAGGAUGAAGCCCCUUGGGGCGUAAACUCCUUUCGACCAAGACGAUAAUGACGGUACUGGUGGAAGAAGCACCGGCUAACUCUGUGCCAGCAGCCGC